GCUAACACUGAUGGUUAAUGAGUCAUUAUAAACUUAGAAAUGGGCAUUGGUGGUUGUACGGUCUGCUCUUGAUUCAUCACACAUCACUUUCAUAAUAUGUCAAAAGCAAUAGUUAGUUAUGAAAUACUACAAUUGUUUUACUAAUGAAGAUAACAUUGGCAAAGUAUUUUUUUUUUCCAACAAUUGAGGCAGCUCCUGCCUUUUCCAGUUCAUUCCCUCACCUAUUUGCUGGCCAAGAUAAUGUUCGGUGUUUGAUUCCUUGUGCAAUUGACCAGGUUGAUUCUUUUUAAUUUUUAUAAUUUUGAAUAAUCGUUUAUUAUGCUUUUACUGGUAUGCUUGUUAUGAUUGGUUGCUUACAUUGAUUUGCAUUGGGCCUCAAAUAUUGUAAUUUUUGUCUUGUUGAGCAUUGACGAAAAUUCCAGCAUGAUGUUAGAUUUAAGCUGAAUUUAUGAUCAGGUCAUGAUGGGUUUUAACUUUUUUUUUUGAAAGAUGAUGGGUUUGAACUUAGGGUUAGGACGUUUUCCUGAGUCCUGAAGGAUGUCAAGCCCAGGUCUUGAUUUGCUUAGUGUUCGAACAGGGACAAGGGCAUUGUACUGUUAAGACCUUGGUGUAGAGGUGCGAGGUCACUGGUAUACGUCUCUUAAAUCGGACUUUGCUUUUCUAGGCUCUAACAUUGCUUUACUUUUAUUAAGGUUUUCGUUCCAAUUCCUCUGUCAUCUGAAAUAAUACAAUUGUUGUACUGUGCUUUAUGAGUUUCCUUGAUUUAGUUCAAUUAUUUUCUAUUAUUUAGUUCUAUUAUUUUAUUCUAUUUUACGUGUAGGUGCAUGGCGAGCAAAAUGGAGAUGAAGUAGAGUGACUAAACGACUAGUCAUCUAACACAAGUGGUGCAAAUAUGUUGGCGACUUCUAUUCUAUUAAGUUCAAGUUUGUGAAGAUUUAGAAAAUCCGGCUUACAUAUAUGUUGGAAUUUGUAUUUUGGACAAUUAAAUCAAUUAUAUAACUUUAGUUUAUUAGUAGGGUGUAAUACCGAAAACAAGCAAGUAAUAUUUUUGUAAUGUACGUAUUUAUUAGCAUUAUACACUAGUAGAAAAAAAAGCAUUAGGCACCCCCCAUAUGGCACCGGUUCAGUCUAAACCGGUGCCCAAAACCGGUCUAGAAUUGGGCGGGUUUUUACCAAAAGAGAAAAGGCACCGGUUCAACAUGAACCGGUGCCAAAAAUAAAAAAGGCACCGGUUUGAACCGGUGCCCUUGUUAGAUUUUAAAAAAAAAAAAAACCGAUCAACUUAUCUAUAUUAUAAUUGUAUUCCUAACCCUAGAGAACUAACUCAGCUUCAUUCUCCUUAUUAUUAAUUAGCUGCCUCUCUCCUCCUUCUCUCUCCUCUCUUCUCUAUCAUCUUCCUUCUCGAUCUCUCCGACCACAACGUGCGAAACCUCAGAUCUCUUCUCUAUUGUCCUCCUUCUCUGUCUGAUCUCGCUCUCCUCUUCUUUCCCCCCUCUUCUCCGACCUUUCUUCUCCCUUCUGUCUUUUGCCCACCAUACCACCGCUACUAACCACCGCCGCCACCUGCAUGUUUCUGGGUUUAAUAUUUGAGGUGUUAAUUGAUGCACAACGAUUCAAGACUUUGAUUUUGGAAUAUUGUUUUUGAUGUUGUAUUUUUUAUUUGUAUUUUUCAAUAUCAAUUUAACGUUGAAUUUUAUUGUAUGAUUAUAAUUCAUUGUAUUUUUUUAUUUUUUUUUUGUAUUGUACAAUAACAGCUUAAUAUAUUGAUAUACUC